rnacentral:rRNA from 1 species
AUUGAACGCUGGCGGCAUGCCUUACACAUGCAAGUCGAACGGUAACAGGCCGCAAGGUGCUGACGAGUGGCGAACGGGUGAGUAAUGCAUCGGAACGUGCCCAGUCGUGGGGGAUAACGCAGCGAAAGCUGCGCUAAUACCGCAUACGAUCUAUGGAUGAAAGCGGGGGACCGUAAGGCCUCGCGCGAUUGGAGUGGCCGAUGUCAGAUUAGGUAGUUGGGGGGGUAAAGGCUAACCAAGCCAACGAUCUGUAGCUGGUCUGAGAGGACGACCAGCCACACUGGGACUGAGACACGGCCCAGAGUCCUACGGGAGGCAGCAGUGGGGAAUUUUGGACAAUGGGCGCAAGCCUGAUCCAGCAAUGCCGCGUGCAGGAAGAAGGCCUUCGGGUUGUAAACUGCUUUUGUACGGAACGAAACGGUCCUGGUUAAUACCUGGGGCUAAUGACGGUACCGUAAGAAUAAGCACCGGCUAACUACGUGCCAGCAGCCGCAGUAACAC